rnacentral:rRNA from 1 species
UACAGGGGGUGCAAACGUUGCUCGGAAUCAUUGGGCGUAAAGCGCACGUAGGCGGCUUUCUAAGUCGGGGGUGAAAUCCUGGAGCUCAACUCCAGAACUGCCUUCGAUACUGGAGAGCUCGAGUCCGGGAGAGGUGAGUGGAACUGCGAGUGUAGAGGUGAAAUUCGUAGAUAUUCGCAAGAACACCAGUGGCGAAGGCGGCUCACUGGCCCGGUACUGACGCUGAGGUGCGAAAGCGUGGGGAGCAAACAGG